UACAACCAUAACACGUUGAAACACGUGUUCUCGUCUGAUUAGUGAAGUUAAGCAACGUCGAGCCUGUUCAGUACACAGAUGGGUGACCACUGAGGAAUACUAGGUUCUGUA